GGCCACUUGGCGCAAUGGUAGCGCGUUCGACUCCAGAUCGAAAGGCUACGCCUUCGGUCCUCUCAUUGGUCA
rnacentral:tRNA from 1 species